CGGCGGACGGGUGAGUAACGCGUGGGUAACCUGCCUCAUACAGGGGGAUAACAGUUAGAAAUGACUGCUAAUACCGCAUAAGACCACGGUACCGCAUGGUACCGUGUGAAAAACUCCGGUGGUAUGAGAUGGACCCGCGUCUGAUUAGCUAGUUGGUGGGGUAACGGCCUACCAAGGCGACGAUCAGUAGCCGACCUGAGAGGGUGACCGGCCACAUUGGGACUGAGACACGGCCCAA
rnacentral:rRNA from 1 species